GAGUUUGAUCUUGGCUCAGGAUAAACGCUGGCGGCGUGCCUUAUGCAUGCAAGUCGAACGUGAUCCGGCUUCGGCCGGUGAAAGUGGCGAACGGGUGAGUAACACGUAGGAACCUGCCCGGAAGUGGGGGAUAACCCCGCGAAAGCGGAGCUAAUACCGCAUGUGGUCGAAAGACUAAAGCUUUUGCGUCUUCCGGAGGGGCCCUGGCGGCGGAUUAGCUAGUUGGUGGGGUAAUGGCCUACCAAGGCGACGAUCCGUAGCUGGUCUGAGAGGAUGGUCAGCCACACUGGAACUGAGACA
rnacentral:rRNA from 1 species